AUGCCGCCGCCGGUGCUGAUGGACGACCUCGUUGAGGAGGUUCUCCUCCGCCUUCCGCCCGACGAGCCCGCCUGCCUCGUGCGCGCCUCCGCCGUCUGCAAGCCAUGGCGCCGCAUCCUCGCCGGCCAGCGCUUUCGCCGCCGCUACCGGGAGUUCCAUCGGACACCUCCCGUCCUGGGACUCUUCGAAAGGAAUGGGCGUUUCGUCCCCACCUCCGACCUCUUCCCUGCCAAGCACGACCACUCCGACUGGUUUGUCACAGACUGCCGCCACGGCCGCGCCCUCGCCAUCAUCAUCAAAUCCCUCGCCGUCUUCGACCCUAUAACGGGCCAGCGGCGCCGCGUGCCCUGGCCCCGUCCCGUUGACCAGUUGACCCACUUCAGUGCGGCGGUGCUCUGUGCCGCACAAGGCUGCGACCACCGCAGUUGUCAAGGAGGGCAUUUCUUUGUGGCCUUUGUGACCACUAGGAAAGAAGUCUCAUUGGGCUGGCUGUACUCAUCGGAGACUCGCGUGUGGAGCAACCUCACCCCUGUUCAUCACCCCAACGUCAAGUCUACCUCUGCCAUUGCUGUGCAUAGCGUCCUUUUGGGCGAUGCAAUCUACUUCAAUGCGGAUAGCAUCAUCGAGUGCCAACUUGGUACACGCUGUUUGUCGAUGUUCGAGAAGCCAAUCGAUGACAGUGGGAGUCUCAUGAUGGCCGAAGACGGUAGGCUGGGAUUCGCUGCGGUGGUGGAAAAACAUAGGGUAAUCGAUCUUAAGCUGCUGCUCCCUGAAGGGGCCCUCUCGAUCCCAACAUUUCAAGAUGGGGUUAGCGGCAUCGCUGAGGGCACCCAAGUCAUUUUUGUGAGCACAUGUGUUGGUUCCUACAUGGUCGAUCUCAAGUCUCUACAAGUCAGGAUGGUGUCUCGUCCUUGCAAAAGAAUCUUUCCCUACAUGAGCUUCUACAUCCCAGCAAUGGAAGCAGCUUGUACGGGACAGGGGCAAUGA
rnacentral:rRNA from 1 species